CUUGGGCUUCCAACUUAAGGAUUGGGUUAACAGAAGAAAAAAAAAAAUUGGAUCAAUCGCUUACAAUUGUUUAUGACUAAAAAGCACACAAUUACAUCAACUACAGGUCUUUCCCUGUAUGAAGUCUUGUAUUGGAGACCUUUCAGAUUGCUUAACACUGGCAUAUCUGACAACCUCAUAUGUAGACCAGGGAGAUAGCAUAAAACGCUAGAAAGUCAGACAAAAUAAUAAAACUCUGUAAGAAAAUGAUUAAAAUCAGUGUGAAAUAUUUAAACUUGGUUGAAUAUGUUAAUAAGUUUAUAGCAAAUUCAGUUGUACCUAAACUAAAAAGGAAGUUUUAAGUUUGCUUUCAAAAAUAUGGGGACUCUGCCAUCCUCAGGUCAUUAGGUAGGGUGUUCCACAGAUGUGGGGCAUGACAAAACAAAGCUGCCCCACCUUGAGUCUGUGUUUGUAUUCGAGUACUUGUACUUAAGUUUCAGUGCUCGACUUGAGUACUUGUACUUAAGUUCUUAAGUGCAAGUCCCUUUCAGUACUCAUUAACAUUAAUGAGAGUUACUGUUGAAUAGCCAGUACCACAGAGAGUUAUUGUGUAGAAAAGCUGAAGGUCAACUGCUUUCACUCCUUGGCUUCAGACAAGAAUGGCCUUGGUGUGAAAGUAGAGAAAAACAGAAGCUGAGAGACCUUCACUCCUGAGUGCAGUGAAGGUAUAUGUGUGAAACUGCAGAUGUUAGAUGACCAAUGAAAUGACUGAAAAUGUAUUGGUAAUUACCAUUGUUCAGUGAAAACAUGAAUGUAAAAUGGUGUUUAAAAGGGGAAAGACCCUAGCUUCCCAGAGAUUCUUUUUGACCAACUAGGACUGCUGUUGUGAGACUUUCUUACUAAGAAAGAAGAGUUCUGGCACUGAGUCGCUUUUUCUUUCAAGAAACAGAAAAUUUCAAAAACUGAUGUAUCUCAAUUUCAGGAACUUUCCCAAGAGAUAAGGAAACUUUAAAGGGCUAUCUUGAUGGCAGAAACCAGCAGUUUCAGGGUAACUCGUCUGCCACCUAUGAAGCCCCUCCUCAAGGACAGUACUUUCAGUGGCCCACAAGCUUUAAGGAAAAGGGCCUAAAGACAAUAAAAGGAGUCCUUAUGAAUAUGAAAUACCAGUUGCUGCAGGGAGACGACAGGGAGAAGGGAUGGUGAACCAUAUCUAACAACACAAUAUUAUUUGAUCAGUCACUAGAAACAUUUUGACUCCCUGAUAUGCAAAUUUCUUUCAUCUGUAUGUGCUUUUGGGUGUAAGCCAGUUUGUAGAUUUCGUCUCACCAGGAAAUGGUCUUGUUAACAUUACAAACUGAGCAGAAAGAGGGGCAGAUUUUAGAGACCAAAGGACAAAUAUCUGAUUCAGUAAAAGUUUGAUAAAUUUUGAAAUGAAGAAUAAAUGCCUCAUAACCUCUCAUCCAUCUGUGAUCCACAUACAGUCUGUCAGCCUUAAAUUCCUAAAACUUCCACAUGAUGGCAGUAGUUCCCAACCAACCUGAAGAGCAAACAAGAGAGAGGACUCACCCUGUCCCUCUAAGAUGAUGCCAAGGAUGGUCUAAGCAUUGGUGGUCCUCUUAAGGAAAUGUUGCAUGGCUUAUGGAUUCGGUUUCAAACGAGGGAACUUUCCAUCUUAUCGUAUUUCGUCAGAAAAACCCUAGCUGGAACUCUUUCAAUGUUUGUUAUUGACUCAAAUUUGUCUUCAUCUGAUAUGUGGGAUAAGUAGGAAAACGAUCAGCCUGUUUGGGGACCUCAUAAAACAAGCACAUGAAAGAUUUCCAUGUCUUUUUAAGGAGAAAAAACAAGGCGAGGGGAAGAGCUGCAGUGGUGUUUGUUAUCUUGAUUCUCUCUGUCUUUGCGUGUCUGAUUUAGAGGCUGAUAGCUGUGAGCAGUGGCCUCAGUUGCUGCUGUGGAGUGACGCAUUUGUUUCACCCCCUCCUCUUAUUGCUGCUGGGUCCAGGUCUUGGCUCAGUACCUGUCAAUCCUGAAGGCGCACCCCGUGGUCCAGCUGCCUGGUGUGAUGGUCAGCAAUUACACCUGGAGGUGCACUAUAUGUGUGUGUGUUUGUGUUUGUGUUUGUGUUUGUGUGGGCAGGGAUUCAGACAGGACUUCUGCUGGCUGAUUAAUGGAUCGACCUCCAGGCUGCCACAGCAUCGAUCUGUGUGUGAUUGGUGCAGUGCUUUGUUCAGGUCUUGGUACUUGUUUGUUGUUCAAAAAAAAAAAAAAAAAGGGUUUAUUUUGGUAAAUCUUUUCUCUUAGUCUACUUCAUUUUGUUUUAUUUGGUGACUUGGUCUGACUCCUGUACCUUCCUGGAGGGGAAACUGAUAAAUAAUGUUUAUUCAUAUCACAGUUCCUUGAAAGGCUUCCAAUAAAUUGUUUAAAAAGGGACCGUGAAAGUUUACGUUUAGAUAAGCUUUCAAUUUGAAAAGAGUGAAAAGUGUCCAUUAUAUUUAAAGAAAGAAGAGUUUAUUUAGAGUGUCCUUAAGUAGAAUAAAUAUUAAGUCUAGAUUUCCUGCUUCAAGGCUAGUUUCUCACGUGGUAAGUUAAGUGUCUUUGUACUUGAUACUUCAAAGUCUACACUAAGUUCCAAGGACAACUCUUAAUAAUUAAAAAGUGUGUGAAAGCAAUCAUAACUAUGAGCAGGGACCUUUUACAACAAAAACUAGACUCUUAUAGUUCUUGUUAAAAGUCAUAUGAAGCCAAAUAUUAGUCACGUUUACUGUUGAUUCAAAAACAAAAAUGAUUCGUCAAUUUUUUUGCAAUAAGGUUUCUUCUCAUAUCACUUUGAACUUUUAUUUUUUAGAAACUUGACUUGACUUGGACUUGUAGAGUGAAUUUGUCCUAAUUUAGGCCUCAUAAACAUUCUAAAUUGGAAACGUGACUGAAACACUGGCUGACACUUGAGAUUUUGCAGUGCGCUAUAAUGAUGAAGACAGCAAUAGUUUAAAAAAAAAAAAAAAAGCCUGUCACGAAUAAAUAUGUCCAUUAGUACCUCCAGCUCUUGCUAAAAAGAAGUCCACCCGACACUCCUGUGAAAAAAACUCCCUUGUGCACCUCAAAAAUCAAUCAGAGUUCUUUUUUAAUAAUUGACAGAUAACUCAAUAACUCAAAAUUACUGUAAUCAGAUCAUUUUAAUAUUUUAAUGUAAUUUCAUGAGGGCUUCGGGCUAAAAUCGUCCAAAUGAAAUAGAAAAUUGUUUUUAAAAUUUCAGAACAUUUCCAUAAAUUAAUUUUUCACUAUCUUAAAUAACUGAUGGAAAAAUUAAGCUUUUUCAAUUUAGGGGGCACUAGUAUCUUAAAAAGUUCCCAUUUGGGAUUGCUUAUUCAACCAGCAGUCAGAAAACUGAGAGGGUCAAACCAAACCAAACCAGCUUCAAUGGGCGCUGUGCACAGCUCCACUGCUUCCUGAACUUACGGCAGCUUCUUUAUUUCCUGUCUUACAUUAUUGGACAAACUGAUUAAUCCAGGUGUGUCUGAGUAGUCACAGUGGUCAACCACCUGAAUCGACCAGUUUGUCCAAUAAUGUAAGACAGGAAAUAAAGGAGCCGCCUUAAGUUCAGGAAGUAGUGGAGCUGUGCAUAGAGCCCGUACUUUUCACUUAAUAACAAACCAAAUCUGCCAAAAGCUCAACCAAUACAUGUGCAUAAAAACACAUAAAUGGACAUGAAGAAAACAAAAAAGUAAUAAAGAGAAAACUUGUUUGUUAUCACCUUGUUGAAAACUUACCCAGUGGUGUUACUGGGCUGGCCAAGCAUGGAAAUAAUGGGGCCUACCUCAGACCUGGAUUAUCUACUUUAACUUCUUAUAGACAAGAAUCCCAUUCAAUCACCAAUAAAAUAAAUUGUUCCACAGUGAGUUGUCAACUGUUGAAUCACAACCCACCAACUUAUUUCAACUGAAGUGCAGCUGGGGUGGAUGAUCAGAUUUCAGGUGUAGUCAUAGCCACCCCUGACCACCACCUGGCUCUGCCAACACAUCGACCCUCACUUUCAGACCUGAAUAUACACUGAGUGGUCAAUUUUCAACUACUGGACACAUCGAUAUUCACUUCAGUCUGUUUCAUAAGUGGUGAGAAAUUGCUCUCAUGCUGACUAUGAACCAACACCUGCUGUACGGAGGUCUGGCUGCAGACUAUUGGCCCUCCUUGGUCCUUUUUUUUACCUUCCUUCUGGCUCUUUUAGAAAAGGCCCUUGGAGACUCACAAUUUCAAAACCACAUCUUUAACCUUGUUGGAAGGUAGACUGAUCUCUUGACCAAGUUUUCAAAGCACUCCAAAAUGCUGAUCCUCUAUGUGCCUGACCCCUGACCUUCCCCUCGAGGUAACGUCUCCUCCAGCCUCCAUUAAGUGUCUUUUAUUUCCUCUUCAGUAGGAGUCAUUUCCAGUCUGCUGGGAGCAUAUUUGGGUACUUGGCUCCACAUGAAGAAAAGGGCAACCAGCCAAAAGUUUGGAUUUGGCUCUGACGGGACUUUGGACACAGCCUCUGUUUAAUUGAAGCUGUUAAAAGACUCCAGGGUGUGAGAGAGAGUGUUUGUGUGAGUUCGAGCCCUACUUAAAAGUGUGAAAACACAUCAAGGAUAAAUGUCAGGCUAUAGUUUGGGUGAAGUGGGAAUUAAAGGGUAAUCUUCAUCCUCAAGUCCCUCUCUGCGCCCAACAUGAAAGCAAAAACACAAGCUGACAGCCGCUGAUGACUAUCUAUCUGUGUUGACGUAUGUUCUAGUGUUGACUUCAUGACCCACCCUGAAGAAAUCAGAUUAGAAAAGUUGCUCACAUGAAUCAAAACAGAGGAAGCUGCGGCAAUUUGAUUUGCUCCCACGAGAAGGAAUUCUGGCUGGGAUCCGCUGUUGAGAGAAGUGACUAAAGUGUAAAUAUUUUAGCAUUUUUCCACUCAUGGGUGAAACUUCAAAGGGUCUCUGACUCGAAUAACAGCAGCAAUGGUGGGGGGAUGAUGGUGAGUAAUCAGUACGGUGAAUGAUUAGCAUUAAGAGCAUAUCUUUGUCAUGUAAACGCUGUGGUUGAAAUGGGCGUCAAUAGGCUAAGCACCCUGGCUUGCUGACUGAAAUAUCCUGAACACUUCAAAACACAAAUCCACAUUAUCAUGAGGAACUGAGGCAAAUUUAGAGAUAACAAAUCAAGAGGCUGGAAUUACCAGCAACACUUUUCUUCCAGCACACCUUCCUGAGAUGGACUUGCAUUUAAAGAGAGUGUUAGUGUUUUUCUGAACAGUAGGUGGCAGGAGAAAGCUUGCUACAGCAGCCAUCUUUUGGUUAACAGACACAGAGGAACAGAAUGAUGAGUAUGAACCCCUGUCUGUGAGUUCGAGUUUCCACUCAUGUUUGAUAUAACUGCCCUAAAAGAGACAUCUUGCUGCCGAUAUGUAACGACGCACAGCCCCAAUUAAAAAUGAUUUAUGAAAAAUACAUACUCAUAAAAUUCCCAUAAGGAGUUUUUUGAUGUUAAUGAAAUACAUUUAUAUGCAUAUUGAUGCCUCUCCAGUGUAUACAAAAGCAAAUAAGACCAUCAGGGAUAAGACUGAUGGUUUUCAUUUCUGUAAUUUUAACACCAUAAACUGAAGUGAGAGGGUAGGUGUCAGCCAAGCAGCUAAAGAAACAGCCUUUUUAAAAUUCCCACAUGAAAUAUCAACAAUAAUUUAGAUAUCUGUCGUAAGUUAGUAGGAUGGGAGUUUUUGGAAGGAGUAACUACCUGGGCAUGUAGAGGACAAGAACAGCAGUUACAGUUUUGUUGGCAGGGGGAGCACUUAUGCAUCCCUAUAUCACAGCAAGAGCUGGUUGGUGGAUCAUGGAUUAUGUCUGGUUUCUUCUUUGCUUUUGGCAGCAGUGCUAAGCCCAUACAGUGAUUUCCACUGCAGAGUCAUGUUUGUUUUCCAUACAAUGGCCUCCUGACUGCCCAAAGAUCAUGACCCUCCUGUAUUGUUUCGGGUUUUGUCUCUCAUGCAUAGUUUAAUUCAAUCACGUACUAUAAAUAAUACAAUUCUUUCCAAUUUGACACAGAGGAAAGUUAUUCUGAAAUUGUUUAAUUUUUUUGCUGAUAUCAAAUAUAAAUUGAGCGUAUUUGAUUAAUUCCAUAAAACAAAAAUUUCUAGUUUCAUCAUUUAGUCUGUCUGUCUAUCCCAACACCUCGAUUUGAGACCAUUUCCAUUAAAAACUUAAGAUAAAAAGCCUCCUCUUAUAAAUCAAAGUGGGAGCUGUAAAGCAGGAAGAAACUAAAACAGGUCAUGUCAUGUUAAGGUACACUCAGGUGGUCAUGUUAACCUGACAGUCAGGGUGACAACAGAGUCAAACACAAACACUCAAAUUAAAUAUCUGCAGGAAAACCAGACCUUCAAG